UACGGGGGGGAGCAAGCGUUGUUCGGAUUUACUGGGCGUAAAGGGCGCGUAGGCGGCCAGCACAAGUCAGUUGUGAAAUCUCCGAGCUUAACUCGGAAAGGUCAACUGAUACUGUGCGGCUAGAGUCCGGAAGAGGCGAGUGGAAUUCCUGGUGUAGCGGUGAAAUGCGCAGAUAUCAGGAGGAACACCCGUGGCGAAAGCGGCUCUCUGGGACGGUACUGGACGCUGAGACGCGAAAAGCGUGGGGAGCGAACAGG
rnacentral:rRNA from 1 species